rnacentral:misc_RNA from 1 species
UACAGAGGGCCCGAGCGUUGCGCGGAUUUACUGGGCUUAAAGGGUUCGUAGGCGGAAAUGCAAGUGUCUUGUGAAAGCCCCCGGCUCAACCGGGGAAUUGCUGGGCAAACUGCAUCUCUUGAGGCUGGUAGGCGCUGCCGGAACUGUAGGUGUAGCGGUGAAAUGCGUAGAUAUCUACAGGAACGCCGUUGGUGAAGACGGGCAGCUGGGCCAGUUCUGACGCUGAGGCACGAAAGCGUGGGGAACAAACAGG